GAUGAACGCUGGCGGCGUGCCUAACACAUGCAAGUCGAACGCGAGCACUUGUGCUCGAGUGGCGAACGGGUGAGUAAUACAUAAGUAACCUGCCCUAGACAGGGGGAUAACUAUUGGAAACGAUAGCUAAGACCGCAUAGGUACGGACACUGCAUGGUGACCGUAUUAAAAGUGCCUCAAAGCACUGGUAGAGGAUGGACUUAUGGCGCAUUAGCUGGUUGGCGGGGUAACGGCCCACCAAGGCGACGAUGCGUAGCCGACCUGAGAGGGUGACCGGCCACACGGGGACUGAGACACGGCCCAGACUCCUACGGGAGGCAGCAGUAGGGAAUUUUCGGCAAUGGGGGAAACCCUGACCGAGCAACGCGGCGUGAAGGAAGAAGGUUUUCGGAUUGUAAACUUCUGUUAUAAAGGAAGAACGGCGGCUACAGGAAAUGGUAGCCGAGUGACGGUACUUUAUUAGAAAGCCACGGCUAACUACGUGCCAGCAGCCGCAGUAAAAC
rnacentral:rRNA from 1 species